CUUAUAUCUCCCUGAAGUCCCCAGUCCUUGGGACUAUGGGUUCCAGGACAUUUCUCUGCCUUGUGCUGGCCAGUGCACUGGCCACAGCCUCAUGGUAGCUAAUACCAUAUCUAUCAACUUGUGUGACGUUGGCACCGAGGUUCCUGGCUUCCCUCUAACUCUUUCACAUGCUUUGUUGGGCCCAGUGAACUCUGAAAUGAAUGAGGCUGUGCCCUGCUCUUCCAGUCUCAGAUGGUGAUGCAUACGGGCCAUGGAAGUGCUGGUUCUCUGACUCAUCUCCAGUGCAAGCCAUGCUCCUCAGUCUGGCAAGAGUCUCUUCUACCAUCUCGCUUCUCUGUUUUCUAGACCACAUGAACCUACUCUCCUUGGGAUUUCUUGAGCCAGGUUCAGGGUCCUUCCAGAUGUCCAUGCAAGUGCCUCUUCUCCACAGCACGAAUGCAACCUGAGCUUUCCUGUGUCACUGCUUUAAAAUGGAGUGCUUCUUAUGAGACUGGGGUAUAAACAGCUUCUAGAAACUCACAAAAGUCCUUGUGUAAAUGAAGACAAGCUACCCUUGGUGGCAGAAUAAAGUAGAUGCAACCUUGCCACUGGCCAGCUCCAGUGAAUACACAGGGGCAACUGACCGUGCUGUACUUUAGGGCUCCCUUCUGGACCUGGGGAGGUAAGUUGCCUUCUCCAGACAGCACCUGGAAGUGGAUCAGGCUAUGGUCACCUGCAUGGAUGAACCACAGGUGGGUGUACAGGACCAAAUCCAGGAAAUGUGUGAUGGCAGGUAGGGUGUGGGUCCAUUUUGUGUAUCUGGGCAUUUCCUUAUCUAUAGUCAAUAGGUGACUUAGUUUUUAUGUGGUAAUGUGGAUAAUAUAGCUCAUCUGAUAUAUUUCUCAAUUACUAAAAACAUGAAGAUGUACAAGAAUAUGACAUAACUGUAUGUAAUUUUUUAAUAAUUAGUAAAUACACAUAAGAGUUUCCAAAAGCCAUUAGUGUUUAAGCGAAAAGAUCUCAUGGCCCUUUCUGUAAAUUUCUUGUGCUUCCAGAGAAAAGGGACAUUUUUGAGAGGGAACCUCUAGAAACUACCAGUACGGUAAUCAAUGGCCUAAACUUUAACCUGACAGCAGCUGCAGCAAAAAGAGGACACGUUAGCUGCAAAUAGCUCUCCUGAAAGGGGAAACAACAUGGUCAUUUAAAGAGACAACAUCCUUCUUGGGAAGGAGUCCUAGACAUUUAUUGCCACUGUCUGGCACAUCAACAGAGAAGCAGCGAGCACAGCUCCACAGCAGCCUCCUGCAUUCCUUCAUGCCAGCGCCAGGGCUACAGCUGCAUGAGAAUGAGUGAGAGACAUUUCUCCCUAAAGCAAAGAGACACUGUGAUUGGGCCUUGAUAGCUCACCUCACAUGUAUGUGCACACAACAGAGGAGCAGCUGUCCAGUAAGCUUUAGCUCUUCUUGAUGUUUCUCCCCUGGACCACUGCAGAAGAGUCUACAUGAUAGCCCCCAGGCCUGUGACACACGAAAGGAUUAGCAACUCCUCCAGCUGGUCUUCUGGAUGUUCACCUCAGCGUCUGUUAGUUCCGGUCAGUUCUGGACUAACUUGAAGAUACACAACUGGCUGGUGAAGAUUCAACAGUCACAUGUGGAAUCCACACACGGGCCAUUAAGCAGACACUCUAGAGUCAGUCACUGCUUGCAACCCACAGUGUGCCUGCUGUUUAGCAAGCAUCUCUCAUUAAACAGUGACCUUGGAAAGAUGCCUGGGCCACUCCAGCUGCAUUUUGAACUGACUGACCUCCAACAAUGAACCUGCCGGUGUCACAUGCUAAUGUCCUUUUAAGCUAAGAUGCCAACACCAGAGUGACUUCACAAUACACAAAUACACACGUUGUGUAUCUUCAAAGCAAGGAAGAGCCACUCAAACGUCCAAUAAGGAUAAAAACAGCCACACACGAAAAAAUAAAAAAGAAGAUGAAGCCAUUCUUUGUGAUGUUUAGCUACAUCUGCUCUGAUAAUGAUGAAGACAGCUCUAACUCGUAUCCGUUUUACUUACCAAGAGAAACAGAGAAAAGGGGUUCUACAAAGACCUUCUUCUAUAGCCUUCCUCCUUUAGCCCAUUGCUUUGUCUUUGGAAGAUCUCAACACCCAAAGGUACUCUGUCCCUGGAAACCCAAUGGCCCAGAAAUCAGAUGUCUCCUGAGUUCUACUGAGACCCAGAUUUGGAACAGGUACUGAAGAAAAAUGAUUUAAAAAAAAAGAGCAGAGUCCAUGUUCUCAUGAAUCAUAAUGUUUCAAGCAGGAGAAGGCCGGAGUGGCCACUCACUCAGGGUUAUCUGCAAAUUGUCUUCCUGGAGGUGGAGUAAGGAAACAGCAGUCCUGCGGAAGCUCCCCGAGACACUUCAGAAGACCCCAAGUGGACAUGGGAAGGCUUAGCUACUAAAAGAAGAGGGCUGAAAUGUCAAAGAAAAAGACCAUAAUUUGCAGGCUAGCUCUCCUCUCCCUGACUUCUGACUGUACCUCCUCCGUUGGUGUGGAUUUCAGUCCUUUGGUAGCUUCUAGAGGUUUUGUGGGGUUAGUUGAACAUUGACAGACCAAAGCUUGGAAUUCAGUCUAAGAGCCAAAACCAGGCCAGGUUUCCAUAAUGCCUGGAGUUCCCCUGGAGAGUGUCAAGGGUUCCACUAUACCUAGACUGAUUAAUCACGCCUGGCCUCAAGCUUCAGACAACAAAGGGACUGAAAAGAAAAACAGACCCUGAAGCUGGAUUUUGAUUCUAGCCCUAUUUCCCGGUUCCCAGGAGACUGGGGGUGGGAGGGAAAGGUGACCCCUACCCGUAAGAGUCGGCUGCGAAUGAACUGGCAUGUGGAUUGGCUGAGCCCGCUCUGCUUGGAUAAAGACCCAGGGUUGUAGCAAAAUGAAGGACAUGUGGCUGAAAGAGGUUCAAAAAGAAUAAAGGCUUAGGUAAAUAAACAGUGCAGAAAAGGGGAGGGAAAGGAGCAUUACUGAAAAUCUCCAAAGGAAAGCACUGGCAAGUCUCAAGAGCAGCAAUGAAAGGCAGACUCCAAGAUCUACGAGAUCCCCACCACUGUACCUGCUCCAGGUGCCCACCUCCUCUUCUUGCCCUGUACCCUUCCUGGAUCCACAGGUAAUGGGGACCAGACAAAGGGGUUACUGGGUCUGAGGGAGAAAAUUCUCAAUACUACCUGAGUCUCAUUUUAGACAUAAGUAAUGUUCCUGAGCCUGGUCUUAUCUGUAAAAUGGAGGCGGUGAUUUAAAAAAUACAAGUGAAGGAGAGUUUUGUCCUGACUGGUUCAUGUUGGGCCUUAGGCCCUGAUGAGUAUCUCUCCUUAUCUGUCCAUAGCUUCAACUCCAAACCCAUUUACUGAGCCCAGCAGCAGGGAAAUGAUGCUUUCAGAAGAAUAACUGCUGUCUUCCACCAGCUCCCACCAGCUCCCAAUACCUCGUCCCAGACGCUCAUCCCUCUGCAGAGCUAGACUGAGCAUGCCUUUGAGAGACUCUCAAACUAGGCUUCUUAUAGGUGCAGCUAACUAGUAUGCCACACAGUUUGCCAAUAACAUUUCUGAGCACCUCCCCACUUAGACCCGAGGAUAAGUGCCAUCCUCUACUCAUGUCCAGUGCUACAGAAAAACAAGCUUCCGUUUCCUUGUUGCAGCCUUCACCACUAACACUAUCAUCCUCAUCUUCACUGCCAGUACCACAUCGCCGCCACCACCACCACAAGUGGCACUUGUGUGCUAUUUACAUGUGCCGGCUACAGGUCCAAAGACUUCAUGGAAGUGAAGUUAUCCAAUCCUCACAAGUGCCGUUAGGAUGCUUCACCUCGGAGGUGAAAGCUUACCCAGUGCGUAAAGCAAUCAACAGUGAUGGCAGAGAGUAUGAUGGCACAGGGUCUGAGUUCAGCAGCCCAGCUUCAGGGAUCACCCUCUGCAAUGCUCAGGAACAGUGUAAAAUGCUGUCUAUUUUGUGCAUGGCCUCUGGGCCCACAUUUUUCUUUGAUACGUGCCACAUUGCAUAUCCAUAGUCUUCUUCAUUCAUCUUCCACUGUUUCUCCACCUGAAUUUGGUAUUUCUGUCACACCACUGGUACUUUCUGCUCCCGUCUUGCAAGACUGAUAAUCAUGAGUCAUAAACAAAGGGAGAUAUGAGGUUCAUAAUCCCUUUUGCAAGUGAAGAAAAUGUUAAAAUGAUUUAAAAAGAACACAUUCAACCUUAAAGACCACCAAGUCAAACCUAGACUGUGACUUGGUCAGUCCUGUUUCUUUGUUCUUUGGAGGAAGACACCUGUCACAGGCUGGGAAGGUAAGUUGUGAAACUUGCUUCAGGGUCCCUAACAGCACUGGUCCUACAGCAGGUAGCGCUGUCAAGGGGUAUCACCACUCAAUAUCAGCCUGAGCAUUUCCUCAUUCAUAUCCAACCCUCUUCCUAACAUGUUUAUCAACUUAUAGCACCAACUGUGGCAGGCCAGCAGGGAUAAUAUUUUAAUUUUGAAAAUUAUUUUUUAUAUGCACAGGUACUACAACUACAAAUAAAUUUAUGCAUUGAGUACAACGUGUCUGCUACCUGCAGAGACCAAAAAUCGCGAUCAGACUUUCUGGAAUUGGGAUCACAACUAGAUGGUUAUGAGCUGCUAUGUCGUGGUGAGAAUUGAACCCAGGGCCCUAGGAAGAGCAAGUAAUGCUCUAAACCACUGACCCAUCUACAGUACACCCAGUAUCUUUUGAACCAUUUCCACUUAGCAUGGCUCUGUUUUCUUGAUCUACAGAAACUGUUUACAUACUUACAAGUCCUAUGAACAUGAAGAUUGCGUUUUGAUCCGUCUAACUCUUUAAUGGAAAUUCAUAAUUUUAAUGUAGUCUAAAUUACAAAACUUUCUUUUACAGCUGUGCUGACCCUGAGAUCCUGUUGAGUAUCUGCUGAUCUCAGGGUUAUAAA
rnacentral:sRNA from 1 species